rnacentral:miRNA from 1 species
GCUGAUCAGUGACUGCGGCUGC